rnacentral:piRNA from 1 species
UCUCCAAGCUCGCUGUGGUCUGGAGUUGC